rnacentral:rRNA from 1 species
CCAUAAAGCUAAACUCCAUCCAAGUCGUAAAAAACUCUGGCUGAUGUAAAAUAAACUACGAAAGUGGCUUUAAUACCUCUGAACACACAAUAGCUAAGGCCCAAACUGGGAUUAGAUACCCCACUAUGCUUAGCCCUAAACUUCAACAGUCAAAUCAACAAGACUGCUCGCCAGAACACUACGAGCAACAGCUUAAAACUCAAAGGACCUGGCGGUGCUUCAUACCCUCCUAGAGGAGCCUGUCCUAUAAUCGAUAAACCCCGUUCAACCUCACCAUCUCUUGCUCAGCCUAUAUACCGCCAUCUUCAGCAAACCCUGACAAAGGCUAUUAAGUAAGCGCAAACAUCCACGUAAAGACGUUAGGUCAAGGUGUAGCCCAUGAGAUGGGAAGAGAUGGGCUACAUUUUCUACUUCAGAAAACCACGAUAACCCCCAUGAAACUUGAGUGGUCGAAGGAGGAUUUAGCAGUAAAUUAAGAAUAGAGUGCUUAAUUGAACAAGGCCCUGAAGCGCGUACACACCGCCCGUCACCCUCCUCAAGUAUAUUUCAAGGAAUCUCUAACUAAACACUCCACGCAUCUAUAUAGAGGAGAUAAGUCGUAACAUGGUAAGUGUACUGGAAGGUGCACUUGGACAAAC